AUCAUAGACGCAUACAUACAUUGCAUAAGUGCUAAGCAACAUCUACAGAUGAGGUCAGGUGGAAGUGUGUUCUUAGAGAAUGCAUGCAUCUCUAAGAUGAUAAAGGAAUUUAGCUCUAUACGGGAUGACGCACCAAAAUGGGUAUUACAGAGAGCUAAAACUUAUUUGGAACAUGAUAUGAUAUUCGUUCCAGUUAACAUUGAAGAGUUUCAUUGGUACCUAGCACUUAUAAAUACCGGGAAGCGAUGUAUCCAGGUGCUCGACUCGGUAGGCCCAGGAAUGAACCGCAACGACCUCACUGCUAUGCUGAAAGGACUAGAAAAUGUAUUCCAAUAUGCUAAGCUUCAAAUGGAACUAAAAUCUCAUAAGUGGAAAGACUUAAACAUCAGUGCAUGGCCAAGGGAAGAGUGUAUUAAGAAGAGACUGCAGACAGAUGAUUUUAGAACAAAACUAGCCGUCAUUUUAGUGGACUCGGAAUUGAAUGAUGAUAAUAUAAGAAAUCGAGACAUUGAAGAUGACGAAGACAACACAGAUCCCACGGAUUGUAUGAUUUUGGAAACACCCCCUGAGAACCUCAAACCAUCGAUCCAGCUUUUCAGAGACAUUCCAUGUCACUACAUGGAUCUAAAUUUUUGUUUCAUGUCCUACUAUGCACGAGACUCACGUCAUCGUGGAAAUAUGGUCAUUGCUAUGUUGAAAUGGAUGUUUGAUAGCUGGCCAGACAGUAAUGAGUAUCAUAUUUCACAGUGUCAUACAAUUUUAUUGCCUUGGGAUAUUUGUGGGAUAUUUCUAUUGUUUGUUUUCGAUCAAAAUAAAAAAGUUGUCUCAAUUAUGGAUCCGAUACCAAUACCUAUUUUGGGAAAAAUUGUACUUAAAACUGUGGUCAACAACCUAAACCGUGCACUCCAAGUUGCAAACCCUGCAUUCAAAGACGACAUCUCUAAAUGGAAAUGGGAAGUUCCUGUUGUUCCAACAAACUCACAUGGGAUGAUUUUG
rnacentral:rRNA from 1 species